rnacentral:rRNA from 1 species
GACGAACGCUGGCGGCGUGCUUAACACAUGCAAGUCGAACGGAAAGGCCCCUUUGGUGGUACUCGAGUGUCGAACGGGUGAGUAACACGUGAAUAACCUUCCCUUGACUUCUGGAUAACUUCAGGAUACUGGGGCUAAUACCGGAUAGGGAUCCUUUUUGCAUGGUGGUGGUUGGAAAGCUUCGGCGGGUUUUGAUGUACUCGCUGCUUAUCAGCUUGUUGGUUGGGUAGUGUCUUACCAAGGCUUUGACGGGUAGCCGGACUGAGAGGGCGACCGGCGACAUUGGGACUGACAUAAGGCCCAGACUCCUACGGGAGGCAGAAGUGGGGAAUAUUGCCCAAUGGGCGGAAGCCUGAUGCAGCAACGCCGCGUGCGGGAUGACGGUCUUAGGGUUGUAAACCGCUUUCAGCAGGGGCGAAGCUUGUGGUGACGGUACCUGAAGAAGAAGCACCGGCUAACUACGUG